GACGAACGCUGGCGGCGUGCUUAACACAUGCAAGUCGAACGGAAAGGCCCUGCUUUUGUGGGGUGCUCGAGUGGCGAACGGGUGAGUAACACGUGAGUAACCUGCCCUUGACUUUGGGAUAACUUCAGGAAACUGGGGCUAAUACCGGAUAGGAGCUACUGCUGCAUGGUUGGGGUUGGAAAGUUUCGGCGGUUGGGGAUGGACUCGCGGCUUAUCAGCUUGUUGGUGGGGUAGUGGCUUACCAAGGCUUUGACGGGUAGCCGGCCUGAGAGGGUGACCGGCCACAUUGGGACUGAGAUACGGCCCAGACUCCUACGGGAGGCAGCAGUGGGGAAUAUUGCACAAUGGGCGGAAGCCUGAUGCAGCAACGCCGCGUGCGGGAUGACGGCCUUCGGGUUGUAAACCGCUUUCGUCUGUGACGAAGCGUGAGUGACGGUAAUGGGUAAAGAAGCACCGGCUAACUACGUG
rnacentral:rRNA from 1 species